UAGUGGCGAACGGGUGAGUAACACGUGGGCAAUCUGCCCUGCACUCUGGGACAAGCCCUGGAAACGGGGUCUAAUACCGGAUAUGAGCUGGAACCGCAUGGUUCUGGUUGUAAAGCUCCGGCGGUGCAGGAUGAGCCCGCGGCCUAUCAGCUUGUUGGUGAGGUAAUGGCUCACCAAGGCGACGACGGGUAGCCGGCCUGAGAGGGCGACCGGCCACACUGGGACUGAGACACGGCCCAGACUCCUACGGGAGGCAGCAGUGGGGAAUAUUGCACAAUGGGCGAAAGCCUGAUGCAGCGACGCCGCGUGAGGGAUGACGGCCUUCGGGUUGUAAACCUCUUUCAGCAGGGAAGAAGCGAAAGUGACGGUACCUGCAGAAGAAGCGCCGGCUAACUACGUGCCAGCAGCCGCGGUAAUACGUAGGGCGCAAGCGUUGUCCGGAAUUAUUGGGCGUAAAGAGCUCGUAGGCGGCUUGUCACGUCGAUUGUGAAAGCCCGGGGCUUAACCCCGGGUCUGCAGUCGAUACGGGCUAGCUAGAGUGUGG
rnacentral:rRNA from 1 species